UACGUAGGGGGCAAGCGUUGUCCGGAAUCAUUGGGCGUAAAGCGCGUGUAGGCGGCCUUGUAAGUCCGUUCUGAAAGCCCGGGGCUCAACCCCGGGAGGCGGAUGGAUACUGCAAGGCUCGAGUACGGAAGAGGCGAGUGGAAUUCCCGGUGUAGCGGUGAAAAUGCGCAGAUAUCGGGAGGAACACCAAUGGCGAAGGCAGCUCGCUGGGACGUUACUGACGCUGAGACGCGAAAGCGUGGGGAGCAAACAGGG
rnacentral:rRNA from 1 species